rnacentral:rRNA from 1 species
UACGUAGGGCGCAAGCGUUUAUUCGGAAUUAUUGGGCGUAAAGAGCUCGUAGGCGGUUUGUCGCGUCUGCCGUGAAAGUCCGGGGCUCAACUCCGGAUCUGCGGUGGGUACGGGCAGACUAGAGUGAUGUAGGGGAGACUGGAAUUCCUGGUGUAGCGGUGAAAUGCGCAGAUAUCAGGAGGAACACCGAUGGCGAAGGCAGAUCUCUGGGCCGUAACUGACGCUGAGACGCGAAAGCGUGGGGAGCAAACAGG